rnacentral:rRNA from 1 species
UGGAGCAAUCCAUGAGUAGAGUGGCAAACGGGUGAGUAACGCGUGGGCGACCUACCUCAGAGUGGGGGAUAACCUUCCGAAAGGAGGGCUAAUACCGCAUGACAUACCGUGUUUGGAUACACGGAUAUCAAAGCCGGGGAUCGCAAGACCUGGCGCUUGGAGAGGGGCCCGCGUCCGAUUAGCUAGUUGGUGAGGUAACGGCUCACCAAGGCUCCGAUCGGUAUCCGGCCUGAGAGGGCGGACGGACACACUGGAACUGAGACACGGUCCAGACUCCUACGGGAGGCAGCAGUGGGGAAUUGUUCGCAAUGGGCGCAAGCCUGACGACGCAACGCCGCGUGGAGGAUGAAGACUUUCGGGUCGUAAACUCCUUUCGACCGAGAUGAAUUUCCCACGACCUAACACGUCGUGGGAGUGACAGUAUCGAGGGAAGAAGCCCCGGCUAACUCCGUGCCAGCAGCCGCGGUAAUACGGGGGGGGCAAGCGUUGUUCGGAAUUACUGGGCGUAAAGGGUUUGUAGGUGGCUUGCUAAGUCAGACGUGAAAUCCCUCAGCUUAACUGGGGAACUGCGUCUGAUACUGGCGAGCUUGAGUGCAGGAGAGGAACGCGGAAUUCCAGGUGUAGCGGUGAAAUGCGUAGAUAUCUGGAGGAACACCGGUGGCGAAGGCGGCGUUCUGGACUGUAACUGACACUGAGAAACGAAAGCCAGGGUAGCAAACGGGAUUAGAUACCCCGGUAGUCCUGGCCCUAAACGAUGAAUGCUUGGUGUGGCGGGUAUCGAUCCCUGCCGUGCCGAAGUUAACGCGAUAAGCAUUCCGCCUGGGGAGUACGGUCGCAAGGCUG